rnacentral:tRNA from 1 species
ACCGAAGUGGCGCAGAGGUAGCGCGUAAGGCUCAUAACCUUAAGGACACAGGAUCGAAACCUGUCUUCGGUA